rnacentral:lncRNA from 1 species
GGAACCCCCAGCUGACCUACCUAUUGAAGUUUAUGAGGAUCUCAUGGAUCCACAAAACUUCAGUGUAUGAUCAUUCUCGCACUCUGAUGAGUCAAGUAGUAUAGUAAAAGAAGUGAUCAUCUUUUGUAUUUUACAGUCACUUCUGACCUCAGUUAUAUAUGUAAUUGGAACUCAUAUUGUAAUACCUCGCCCAUCACUGUGCUAAAAUGAUUUCGAAACUUUAUUUAUUC